rnacentral:siRNA from 1 species
AGUAUAAAAAGUGUCUAUUCC